AAAUAAGAAGCGAAUAUUGCAAUCAGUUUCGACCUGAAUUACUUGAUGUUAAAUCAUCCUUAUUUA
rnacentral:tRNA from 1 species